CCGGCGAUGUCCGAAUGGGGAAACCCAGUGCAAUUCGUUGCACUAUCGUUAACUGAAUACAUAGGUUAACGAGGCGAACCGGGGGAACUGAAACAUCUAAGUACCCCGAGGAAAAGAAAUCAACCGAGAUUCCCCCAGUAGCGGCGAGCGAACGGGGAGCAGCCCAGAGUCUGAAUCAGCUUGUGUGUUAGUGGAACGGUCUGGAAAGUCCGACGGUACAGGGUGAUAGUCCCGUACACCAAAAUGCACAGGUUGUGAACUCGAAGAGUAGGGCGGGACACGUGGUAUCCUGUCUGAAUAUGGGGGGACCAUCCUCCAAGGCUAAAUACUCCUGACUGACCGAUAGUGAACCAGUACCGUGAGGGAAAGGCGAAAAGAACCCCGGCGAGGGGAGUGAAAAAGAACCUGAAACCGUGUACGUACAAGCAGUGGGAGCACCUUCGGGUGUGACUGCGUACCUUUUGUAUAAUGGGUCAGCGACUUAUAUUCUGUAGCAAGGUUAACCGUAUAGGGGAGCCGCAGGGAAACCGAGUCUUAACUGGGCGUUAAGUUGCAGGGUAUAGACCCGAAACCCGGUGAUCUAGCCAUGGGCAGGUUGAAGGUUGGGUAACACUAACUGGAGGACCGAACCGACUAAUGUUGAAAAAUUAGCGGAUGACUUGUGGCUGGGGGUGAAAGGCCAAUCAAACCGGGAGAUAGCUGGUUCUCCCCGAAAGCUAUUUAGGUAGCGCCUCGUGAAUUCAUCUUCGGGGGUAGAGCACUGUUUCGGCUAGGGGGUCAUCCCGACUUACCAACCCGAUGCAAACUACGAAUACCGAAGAAUGUUAUCACGGGAGACACACGGCGGGUGCUAACGUCCGUCGUGAAGAGGGAAACAACCCAGACCGCCAGCUAAGGUCCCAAAGUCAUGGUUAAGUGGGAAACGAUGUGGGAAGGCACAGACAGCCAGGAUGUUGGCUUAGAAGCAGCCAUCAUUUAAAGAAAGCGUAAUAGCUCACUGGUCGAGUCGGCCUGCGCGGAAGAUGUAACGGGGCUAAACCAUGCACCGAAGCUGCGGCAGCGACACUAUGUGUUGUUGGGUAGGGGAGCGUUCUGUAAGCCUGCGAAGGUG
rnacentral:rRNA from 2 species